rnacentral:rRNA from 1 species
UACGUAGGUGGCAAGCGUUGUCCGGAAUUAUUGGGCGUAAAGCGCGCGCAGGCGGUCCUUUAAGUCUGAUGUGAAAGCCCACGGCUCAACCGUGGAGGGUCAUUGGAAACUGGGGGACUUGAGUACAGAAGAGAAGAGUGGAAUUCCACGUGUAGCGGUGAAAUGCGUAGAGAUGUGGAGGAACACCAGUGGCGAAGGCGACUCUUUGGUCUGUAACUGACGUGAGGCGCGAAAGCGUGGGGAGCAAACAGG